ACAACGGCUCUUUUAAGAGCCACUUCCAUUUUCAAAGAGAGUAUCU
rfam:Scleropages formosus scaffold1444, whole genome shotgun sequence.